rnacentral:ncRNA from 1 species
ACACUGGCUAUGAUGGAGAUUAGUAAGUUAUACCUAAUCCACAGAGAAAAAGUACGCAGGCUGAAAGACUUUUGAUUAAGGAUAACUGAAGCAGCUUCGGAGCUUUAACUUUGAAAAAUAUACUUAUAGGGAUUUAAGUAAAGAUUUUAAUUUAUACAUGUCCAAAACGUCCAGAAACAUUUGGGAUUUGUAAAUGCAUAAAUUAAGUUUUACUAUUGGAAAUCUAUAGUAUAAGUAUAAUUAGAAGUUAACGGGUUGCACUCGUUACAAUGCAUUUUUAAGAGAUUACCUUAAAUGACAACUAUAUUACUUUGUCUAUUAGGUAGUAACUAGGGUGGUACCGCGGGCAAACUCUCGUCCCUAUA